rnacentral:rRNA from 1 species
GAUGAACGCUGGCGGCGUGCCUAAUACAUGCAAGUCGAGCGAACAGACGAGGAGCUUGCUCCUCUGACGUUAGCGGCGGACGGGUGAGUAACACGUGGAUAACCUACCUAUAAGACUGGGAUAACUUCGGGAAACCGGAGCUAAUACCGGAUAAUAUAUUGAACCGCAUGGUUCAAUAGUGAAAGACGGUCUUGCUGUCACUUAUAGAUGGAUCCGCGCCGCAUUAGCUAGUUGGUAAGGUAACGGCUUACCAAGGCAACGAUGAGUAGCCGACCUGAGAGGGUGAUCAGCCACACUGGAACUGAGACACGGUCCAGACUCCUACGGGAGGCAGCAGUAGGGAAUCUUCCGCAAUGGGCGAAAGCCUGACGGAGCAACGCCGCGUGAGUGAUGAAGGUCUUCGGAUCGUAAAACUCUGUUGUUAGGGAAGAACAAAUGUGUAAGUAACUAUGCACGUCAUGACGGUACCUAAUCAGAAAGCCACGGCUAACUACGUG